rnacentral:rRNA from 1 species
UACGAAGGGGGCUAGCGUUGCUCGGAAUCACUGGGCGUAAAGGGCGCGUAGGCGGCCAUUCAAGUCAGAGGUGAAAGCCCAAGGCUCAACCUUGGAAUUGCCUUUGAUACUGUUUGGCUUGAGACCGGAAGAGGUUAGUGGAACUGCGAGUGUAGAGGUGAAAUUCGUAGAUAUUCGCAAGAACACCAGUGGCGAAGGCGGCUAACUGGUCCGGUUCUGACGCUGAGGCGCGAAAGCGUGGGGAGCAAACAGGG